GUAUAACGCUGGCGGCAUGCCUCCACAUGUAAGUCGAGCGGAUGACGGGAGCUUGCUCCUUGAUUCAGCGGCGGACGGGUGAGUAAUGCCUAGUGAAUCUGCCUGGUAGUGGGGGACAACGUUUCGAAAGGAACGCUAAUACCGCAUACGUCCUACGGGAGAAAGCAGGGGACCUUCGGGCCUUGCGCUAUCAGAUGAGCCUAGGUCGGAUUAGCUAGUUGGUGAGGUAAUGGCUCACCAAUGCGACGAUCCGUAACUGGUCUGAGAGGAUGAUCAGUCCACACUUGGAACUGAGAAACGGUCCAGACUCCUUACGGGGAAGGCAGCAGUGGGGAAUAAUUGGACAAUUGUGGGCGAAAGCCUUGAUCCAGCCAUGCCGCGUUUGUGAACAAGGGCUACGGGAUUGUAAAAGCACUUUAAGUUGGGACCGAAGGGCCAGAAAGCUAAAUAACCUUGAAUGUAUAGAACGUUAACCCGAAAAUAAAUAAGCACCGGGUAACUCCAGUCCAGCAGCCGGGGAAUACCGAGGGUGCAAGC
rnacentral:rRNA from 1 species